CGUCGCUCUCACAGAAGCAGGCAGCAGCAGAGAGAGAGAGAGUGAAAGAGAGAGAGAGAGAGAGAGAGAGAGAGAGAGAGAGAUCAGCUGGAUGACUUCAGCCGCUCUUAGAUGACGAUCUUUGUUUUAACGAUUACAGAGAAGAAUCCUUCUGAACUGAAAUCAGUAUCGACCGUCAAAUAUCGGAGGAUUCCUUAAGGCUGCGUUGUUUGUUGUUGGAAACAGCUUCGGCUCCAAGAAAAGACAGACACAACAGAUAACCCGAUCUUCUGUCUUCCGUCACCACAGGAGCCAUGGCAGCAGAAAUCCUUAAACUCUACUUCAUUGGAACAGCGCUGAGUGUCCUUGCAGUCUUUUAUGGAAUAAUGGACUCCUUUGGCGGUCUGAUGUACGUCCAGGACAGUCACAACAUUUUGACACUGGACCACCACACACAGGGGCAGGUCUCCUCGGAUAACCAGCGGAGAGGAUCCCCUGUGACCAAAAACAUCGGCUCAUGAGGGAAAAUCAUCACCAUGACGUCUGGAUGGACAUGCUUGAUACUGUGGCGAUGGAUUAAAACGCUGUGGACGCUACAGUACUUGUCAAUAAUCACUCAAGUUCGUCUAACCUGCUGGACGUGUUUGGCUCUUGGUGAAACCUCUGCCCUUGAGCCGCAACUACAGAUGUGAUGAGAAAUGUAACAGCACUACUGAUUGCACUAAAAUGUUGUUGAUGUUUUUUCACCUUUUUUUCCAGGUUUAGUUUUGUAUGUGUUUACUCUUUAAUAAAGGAAUCCUGUUGGAAAUGA